UAGUCAUAUGCUUGUCUCAAAGAUUAAGCCAUGCAUGUCUAAGUAUAAACAAAUUUGUACUGUGAAACUGCGAAUGGCUCAUUAAAUCAGUUAUAGUUUAUUUGAUGGUACAUUACUACAUGGAUAACUGUGGUAAUUCUAGAGCUAAUACAUGCGUUAAAAUCCCGACUUACGAAGGGAUGUAUUUAUUAGAUACAAAACCAAUUCGUGGCAACACGAUAUUGGUUAGUCAUAAUAACUUUUCGAAUCGCAUGGCCUUGAGCCGGCGAUGCAUCAUUCAAAUAUCUGCCCUAUCAACUUUGGAUGGUAGGAUAGAGGCCUACCAUGGUUUUAACGGGUAACGGGGAAUAAGGGUUCGAUUCCGGAGAGGGAGCCUGAGAAACGGCUACCACAUCCAAGGAAGGCAGCAGGCGCGCAACUUACCCAAUCCCGACACGGGGAGGUAGUGACAAUAAAUAACAAUACAGGGCUCUUUUGGGUCUUGUAAUUGGAAUGAGUACAAUUUAAAUACCUUAACGAGGAACAAUU
rnacentral:rRNA from 1 species